rnacentral:sRNA from 1 species
AGUCCUGUUUCCUCUUUGGUGUAAUAGGGAUGAAUACAGAUGGGAAGAUCGUGAUAUGAAAGAGUUCUGUGAGCUGUGAGGCAUAAUAAUCAUGAGCCACUAUGGAAGGAGGGGUCAGGAUUACAGCAGAGGAGACUGGCACACAGAGUGUUAAGUGACACCCACUCAAUCCACCCCGAAGCUGUUACACUUAAUUAACCCUCAAACUGCCCAGUGAGUUUACAGGCUGGUAACCUACAUCUUUGUCUACGAGAAUCCCAUCUCCCUGCUCUGCGGCGCUAUCAUCAUCUGGCGCUUUGCUGGCAAUUUCGAGAGAACCGUGGGCACCGUCCGCCACUGCUUCUUCACCGUGAUCUUCGCCAUCUUCUCCGCUAUCAUCUUCCUGUCAUUCGAGGCUGUGUCAUCACUGUCAAAGCUGGGGGAAGUGGAGGAUGCCAGAGGUUUCACCCCAGUGGCCUUUGCCAUGCUGGGAGUCACCACCGUCCGUUCUCGGAUGAGGCGGGCCCUGGUGUUUGGCAUGGUUGUGCCCUCAGUCCUGGUUCCGUGGCUCCUGCU